rfam:Sediminicola sp. YIK13, complete genome.
AACGGGGAAGCCGAAAACCGAAAGAGUAGGCA